UGGAAUUCCAGCACACUGGCUAUGGCGUCACUGACUUCUCAUUUAGACUGGAAAGAGAAAGGCAGGAAGGAGGAGACAUGGAAAGACUUCCUUGAAGCUGAGCAUUAAGAAACAGGAGACCCACAACUUAAUAUCCUUGGGAAAAAAAUGAAGAGGGAGGAUUCUUACAUUCUGGAAUGUAGGGCUGCGAAGGAGACGGAGCUGCUUCUUCAACCGAAGUGCAAUACUGCCCCCCAGAGGCCGCUAUGGGGAAGUUCUCUUCGGAAAAGCUUUGCAGCAUCUCUAUUUGAGCAGCCGCUCUGCCGGCUCCUGCCUGAAUUUCCUUUAGCUUUAUGCGGAUCCUCGAAAGUGAGAUUCUAUCAUCCUAAGGGUUUAUCGGUUUAAACUGAUCUGUUUUCUGGCUAAGAUGCUAAUCAACAUUCACUAUGUCCUCAAAGGUGAACUAGGUGAUAAAAAGUCCAGGAAUUCCUAGCCCCACUCCCCUCACUCUCCUACUUCCUUCCCGCCCCCCCGCAAAAAAAGCAAGCCGUCUCUCCCGGCUCCCCCAUUAACUCAAUUUAUACAUUAAGCUGCUUCCCCCGGGGGAGCCCAAAAAUCAGGCGUGUUUUGUGUAACCUUUAGUCUCCUGAUUGGAAUUCUCACCGGAAAGGCAUUUACUGAAAAGCCAGGCUGAAGGAAAUCAAUGAGUGGGUCUGACAGACAUUCAACUUCCAGACAAAUGUAUUUGAUUUUAGAUCAUCCUUCAAUCUUUUCCCUGGGAAUAAACCUUCCACCGACACUUCUGAAAAUAACA
rnacentral:lncRNA from 1 species